UCCUGAUCCANCCAUGCCGCGUGCAGGAAGACAGUCCNGUGGAUUGUAAACUGCUUUUAUACAGGAAGAAAAAGAGAGAUUCGUUCUUUCAUUGACGGUACUGUACGAAUAAGAAUCGGCUAACUCCGUGCCAGCAGCCGCGGCAAUACGGAGGAUUCAAGCGUUAUCCGGAAUCAUUGGGUUUAAAGGGUUCGUAGGCGGGACGAUAAGUCAGUGGUGAAAGUUUGUGGCUCAACCAUAAAAUUGCCAUUGAUACUGUUGUUCUUGAGUUAUUGUGAAGUGGUUAGAAUGUGUAGUGUAGCGGUGAAAUGCAUAGAUAUUACACAGAACACCAAUUGCGAAGGCAUAUCACUAACAAUAUACUGACGCUGAUGAACGAAAGCGUAGGUAGCCAACAGGAUUAGAUACCCUGGUAGUCUACGCCGUAAACGAUGGUUACUAGCUGCUUGUCAUGCCUUUUGGCGAGAUGAGUGGUUAAGCGAAAGCGAUAAGUAACCCACCUGGGGAGUACGUUUGCAAGAAUGAAACUCAAAGGAAUUGACGGGGGCCCGCACAAGCGGUGGAGCAUGUGGUUUAAUUCGAUGAUACGCGAGGAACCUUACCAAGGCUUAAAUGCAUAUUGACGUUUCAGGAAACUGGAAUUUCUUCGGACAAUUUGCAAGGUGCUGCAUGGUUGUCGUCAGCUCGUGCCGUGAGGUGUCAGGUUAAGUCCUAUAACGAGCGCACCCCUGUGGUUAGUUA
rnacentral:rRNA from 1 species